rnacentral:rRNA from 1 species
GACGAACGCUGGCGGCAUGCUUAACACAUGCAAGUCGAACGGACUGGCCCUGCUUAUGUGGGGUCCUCGAGUGGCGACCGGGUAAGUAACACGUGAGUACCCUGUCCUUCACUUAAGGAUAACUUCAUGAAACUUGGGCUCAUACCGGAUAGGAGCUCCUGCUGUUUGGUGGGGGUUCGAAAGUUUCGGCUGUUGGGGAUGGACUCGCGGCUUAUCAGCUUGUUGGUGGGGUAGUGGCUUAGCAAGGCUUUGACGGGUAGCCUGCCUGAGAGGAUGACCGGCCAAGUCACGAUGGGACUGCGGCACAGCCUCCACUGGGACGCAACGGAGCAGAAGAGUGUACAGCGGGCGGAGGCAAGGCGUAGCAACGCCGCGCGGGGUAAAAGGGGAUGCGGGUUGGAUACCGCUUUUGUUUGUGCGGAAGCGUUAGUGACGGUACCGGGUGAAGAAGCACCGGCUAACUACGUG